UUUCAAUGAAUAUGUAGCCACUUUGGGUGUCCUGGCUUUCUUUAGGGUCUUACAGCCCCCUCCCUCAUUUUCAGUGACUCAAGGCCCAGUAUCUUGUUGCCUGGGACAUGGCUGUUCAUCUCCAGAGCUCCCUGGCGUGUGUUUGCUCCCACUCCAGUGUAGCCCAGCUUCCUGCCUUCAUGGAGAUUAUAAUCCACUAUGGGAUGAAGGGAGAAGAAAGCAAUUGUUAGA
rnacentral:lncRNA from 10 species